GUUGUUUUCCUUUUAUAUUGACAAAGCUUUUGUCCGGUUGAAAUGUUAUUGAUUAUUAUGACUAAAAACAACCUAAGGAUUGAUUAUAAACAUCGUUUGACGUGUUUCUAUGAACUUUACUGAUACUUUUCGGAUUUUUCGUCUGUCUGUUGUUACUGCCUUUGAGCCUGUGGAUUACUGAACAAAAUGCGCGGACAAAACUGAGGUUUUUGGAUAUAAAGAGGGACUUUAUCGAACAAAACAAACAUUUAUUGAGUAAAUGGGAGUCUUGUGAGUGCAACCAUACGAAGAUCAAAGAGAGAGAGACAGCCUCCAAGACUCACCUCUACCUCAAGAAACCUACUUUUCCUACUCCAAUCUCCCCUCACAUCAAUCAUCAUGCACCUUGCGUUGUGUUCGUUCAUCAUGGCUGAACCUCAUUGGAGGAAUCCAGUGUUGUGUUCGAGACCACCUUAAGCGAGACCGAUUCAAGACCAAGACCGGAGCGAAUCGAGUCCGAGUCAAAACCAAGACCGGAGAGGGGGUGAGACCAAGUCAAGACCGAGGCCAGGAGGGGGAUGAGAGGUUCGAGACCGAGUCAAACCGAGACCAGAAUAAUCCGAGAGGUCCGAGACCAAGUCCAAGUCAAGACCAUGACUAUAAUUUUGUAAAAUCGUGACCAAAAUAUGAUUUAAAAAUGUCCAGUAUUUCUGUGUUCAUAUUUCAGAAGAGUAUAUGAAUUCUUUAGAUAUUCAGAAUGGUGAAAAAAAAUGCAUGCUGAGGGCAAAUAGAGCCACUCUACAAUGAGGACCUUCUGUGCUUUCAGAGAAAGGCCAAGUAUUUAUAAAAUAAUAAAAAGUAAUUAUUAUUAUGUUGUUCUUUUCAAUGAUGUUCUGAUUUAAUCUCUUCAGUUUUUGCUACAAAGGUAAAGGUUAAUACUUUGGGGGUCUCUGGGGAGAUACAUCUAGCUAGCUAAGUCAGCCAUUGGCUGGGCCAUCAGAAGCUUGAUAGAAGGCAUCUGCCAUUCAACUGAAUUAGGGCAACAUUUUGGUGUGACAGUGGAAUCAACCAAUCACAUUGACUUGUAGUGGCCAACAGGUCAAAGGUCACUGUGAAAUAGCGAGCAGUAGUUUUCCCAAGGUCUAGCUAUCUUUUGUUGUAGGCUAGUUUGCAGUCACUGCAGCAGGUGCGUCAAAGAGAAUGUUGUUGCUAAUUUGCUAACUUCUCACUUUUCAAGAAUAACUUUCAAUGAGAAGUUAUGUUUCUAAUGAUCACCAUCUGGUGAGUGGA
rnacentral:lncRNA from 1 species